rnacentral:rRNA from 1 species
GCAACCUACCCUGUACAGGGGGAUAGCCCGGAGAAAUUCGGAUUAAUACCCCAUAAUGAUAUUGAGAGGCAUCUUUUGAUAUUUAAAGCUUCGGCGGUACGGGAUGGGCAUGCGCAACAUUAGCUAGUUGGUAGGGUAACGGCCUACCAAGGCUACGAUGUUUAGGGGACCUGAGAGGGUGAUCCCCCACACUGGUACUGAGACACGGACCAGACUCCUACGGGAGGCAGCAGUGAGGAAUAUUGGUCAAUGGGCGUAAGCCUGAACCAGCCAUCCCGCGUGCAGGAAGACGGCGCUAUGCGUUGUAAACUGCUUUUCCAGGGGAAGAAAACCCGUUACGAGUAGCGGCUUGCCGGUACCCUGGGAAUAAGCAUCGGCUAACUCCGUGCCAGCAGCCGCGGUAAUACGGAGGAUGCGAGCGUUAUCCGGAUUUAUUGGGUUUAAAGGGUGCGUAGGCGGAUUAAUAAGUCAGUGGUGAAAACCUGCAGCUUAACUGUAGAAUUGCCAUUGAUACUGUUAGUCUUGAGUACGGUCAAGGUAGGCGGAAUGUGUAAUGUAGCGGUGAAAUGCUUAGAUAUUACACAGAACACCGAUUGCGAAGGCAGCUUACUGGGCCAUUACUGACGCUGAUGCACGAAAGCGUGGGGAGCGAACAGGAUUAGAUACCCUGGUAGUCCACGCCGUAAACGAUGAUCACUCGCUGUUGGCGAUACACAGUCAGCGGCUAAGCAAAAGUAUUAAGUGAUCCACCUGGGGAGUACGGCCGCAAGGCUGAA